UCCCUGGUGGUCUAGUGGUUAAAAUUUGGCACUUUCACUUCUGUGGCUCAGGUUCAAUCCCUGGUCUGGGAA
rnacentral:tRNA from 1 species